GACGAACGCUGGCGGCGUGCCUAACACAUGCAAGUCAACGAGAAAGGGGUAGCAAUAUCCUGAGUAAAGUGGCGCACGGGUGAGUAACACGUAGGUAAUCUGCCAUUAGGACGGGGACAACCACGCGAAAGCGUAGCUAAUACCCGAUGAAUCAGCGAUGCCGCAUGGCAUUGUUGUUAAAUACCGCAAGGUGCCUAAUGAUGAACCUGCGUCCCAUUAGGUAGNGGUGAGGUAACGGCUCACCAAGCCGACGAUGGGUAGCUGGUCUGAGAGGAUGAUCAGCCACACUGGAACUGAGACACGGUCCAGACUCCUACGGGAGGCAGCAGUGAGGAAUAUUGCGCAAUGGCCGAAAGGCUGACGCAGCGACGCCGCGUGAAGGAUGAAGUCCGUUAGGAUGUUAAACUUCUUUUGCAGGGGAUGAAUGUCCCGCUAUAUGCGGGAUUGACCGUACCUUGCGAAUAAGGA
rnacentral:rRNA from 1 species